UUCCAUGAUGGCUGGGGUAUCUCACUCAUUGCUGAAUCCCCAGGGACUUUCUUGUAUAAAAGUCGUGUGUGGCUCCAGUUGGGCUCCAGUCACUGUGCGGGGUUCACUGAGAAUGCCUGUGAACUCCUGGUCUCUGCAGUCCUGGCCUAGAAUUGGUGGCAGGUGUCAACACUCUUGGCUUAUCAGUUAUGUGUUUAAAUAAAUGCUUUACUGUUGA